GCGGGUGUGGUGGAAUCGGUAGACACACAAGACUUAAAAUCUUGCGAUGGAAACAUCGUGCCGGUUCAAGUCCGGCCACCCGCA
rnacentral:tRNA from 1 species